rnacentral:lncRNA from 1 species
UAUGAUUUGUGCUUUAUGCUGGUUUUUCAUGAUAGUUUGGGCAAAUCAGCUCUUAGGGAGUUACACUAACUUUGUGUUUGCAUGUAUUUGUAUUUUUAUUUCCCUUGACCUUAGCAAAUUUGAGGAUUUAAUUCAAGAGAAAAACUCCCUAAGUGAAGGUAACAUACUGUGAAUGAUUCAAUUUAGGCUUAAAGGGGUGGUAGAUCAAUGGGGUCAUGAGAUAAGGAAACUCUUUUAACCUUGUUAUCUAUGUUGAGUAGAGCAAAAGCUAAGACAAAAAUUCUGUGUGUGUGUGCAAAAAGUGAAAAAAAAUUCUGGUGUGUACAAAAAAGGGGUAAGAAUAAUGCAAAAAGAAAAAAGAAACAAAAAGAAACAAAAAGAAAUCAAAAAGAAAUCAAAAGAUGGUGUGAUCAGUGAAUAAAUACUCUCCAGUACCCCCACACCUAUCCCAAAU